CAUGGGGAGUGACCGAUCGCUCCUGCUUUGGCAGGGGAGGAAAGUCCGGACUCCGCAGGGUAAGAGGUCCGGCCGUUAAGGCCGGAGGGGCGCUGCCAGAUCGGCGCCGACGGAAAGCGCCACAGAAAACAAACCGCCCGGCGUUCGCGCCGGGUAAGGGUGAAAAGGUGGUGUAAGAGACCACCGGGCAGGCGCGAGAGCGCCGCCGCAGGGCAAACCCCCUCUGGAGCAAGAUCAAAUAGGGGACUCGAGACGCGGCCCGUGUCGCUCCGGCGUAAUAGCCGGAUAGGGUUCCGGGUAGAUUGCUUAGAUGAAUGAUCGGAGCCGCCUCCGGGCGGUGAACAGAAUCCGGCUUAUUCGCCCCCGUGCGGU
rnacentral:RNase_P_RNA from 1 species